rnacentral:sRNA from 1 species
GCUGGACUUGGUUGUUCAUGCCUGUAAUCCCAGCAGCUCAGGAGGCUGAGGCAGGAGGAUCACAAGUUCAAAGCCAGCCUCAGCAACAGGGAGGUGCUAAGCAACUCAGUGAGACCCUGUCUCUA